AUGGCCUGAGGAGGGCUUGAGGGAGUGCGGGUGUUAGCGUGAGGCAGAGGAGGCUCAGGAGAGACCUUUCUGCUCUCCACAAACGCCGGAAAGGAGGGGGUUACCAGGGAUCACCCUGCCGCUUCCCAUUAGCAUUAGCAGCACUCUGAAUUGCAGAAUCUUCAGCUGAACGUGCCGAGUCCUGUCAUUUCCCCCACAGGCUGUCUGGCGAUGAUAAUCCACGAAAGGAUUAUUUCAUCCAAGUGGCGGUGUCCGAGUCAAAUGCCGGCAACAGGCAGGAAAACCCAAACCUGUUGAGGCAGACAUCUGCCCAGAUGGGAGGAAUCGGAGCGACGGCCCUUAAGAGGGCGAGGCGGGGGACAUACUUUGUGCCAGCAGAAUAAGUCCAUGGGCUGCACCCGUGAUGGGAGAGCAAGACCACGAUGGUGAUGGCUGGAAGUUUGCGGGCUGUGAUGCCGAUGCUGGCCAAAGCAGGCCCCGGGCUGCGCUCUUUGGAGCAGUGCCUUGUCACAUUAGCCGGGCGGCCGCUGCGUUUGAUGCUCAACCUGGACAGACAGGCCUGCCAGGCAGAAACUGCUCAGGCAGAUGAUGCUGGGGAGGACAAAAAUUAUCCAGCGCAAGACUGAGAAGACAGAUGACACCCAGCAGGAACAGCAAGCCAAAUCUGCAGAAUCCACAAUGCAGCUGGCUAGCCCGGGGCUACCUGCCUCUUUGAAGAGGAAUAGACAUCACCUACGAGCUGUCAAAUUAGAUCACCAGCCUGAAAAUGCUGAAAGAGAUUUAGUUCUUCCAACAGAGAAGGGAAAGUUUAAUGGAUGAAAAUCUUCCUAAAGGGGCCAAGGUAGUGUGGGAGGGGAAAGGGGAAUCCUUCAGAUGCAGCAACAAUGAAAAAUUAAUCACCUCCUGCCUGCCUGCAGAGUGAGAGAUGGGAUGCGUGGUGUUCUGUGGCAGCCACGCUGGCUGUAGUCACUACCAGCGUGGAAAAUAAAGGCCACGCCUGCAGGAACGUGCACAGAGCAGCAACAAGUAAUGCUAGCUACAAAAUCGAUCCCCCUUUCCAAAUCUGUGAUAUGUUUAUGUUGCCCUGGAGCUGGGCUCUGAGGUACCAUACAUCUCACAUUCAAGACAUGAAGCGGUGGGAUACAAAGGCCCAGUCUGAAUCUGAAAACUCUGCAAAGCAAGAGGUGCACGGUGGCAUUUCCCCUUAAUUUCCUUUGCAAUAUAAUUCCAGCACAAAGAAAAUGUGUGUAAUCAAAGUCAAUUUUGAUAAAUAGAAAAAAAAAUAUUAAGAUUACCAACUGAGUAAGCAUGUGCUCAGGUGUAUGGUGAAUAUGAAACCUGGCAUCUCCAUCAGGGACAGCAGUAGCAUGAGCCAAUUAUAGAUGCAAAGAAGAAAUACUGCUCUUAGGGGGAAAAUAUUAAAUGUAGCAAUCCAUUAAGCAGCUGCAUCACUGCAAUUGCACUUUGAAGUUAAAGACUGUGAAACACACCAAAGAUUAAAAGAGGUGAUAAGAUUAAAAACCAAAAGGGGAAAAAAAUCAAAUAGGCCUACUGAUCCCUCUUUCUAGCAAAAAAACAAAAAACAAAAAACAAAAAACAAAAAACAAAAAACAAAAAAAAAACAAACCAAAAAGAUAGAAAAAAAUUACAUACUAGGUUCUGUAUAUACAUACAAUCGUAAAAUCAAUUUGUGGCCAUACCAAGCAAAUCUGCUUAAAAAAUCUAUUCCCAACUUCAACAUUCAUGUAGCAGACAGACCAUAAAUCACCUGCAGGGAUGCAAACAAGAUGCUAGCAGAUCAGAAAGAUUAUGAACACAGACUUCUGAAUAGAACAGCUUACACUGGAUUUCUUAAUAAUGAUUGUAUAGUUCUAUCUAUUCUUUUAUUUUCAUCUCUCUCAGCUAAUCGCUUUCUAAGUACUUUGUCCUCUUCCAAAUCAACAUCUUUUGAUCAUCUAUUGUUUUUUUAACCAAGCAGAAAAUAAAAGACAGCUAAGUUCUA